rnacentral:rRNA from 1 species
CCUACGGGGGGCAGCAGUGGGGGAUAUUGCACAAUGGAGGGAACUCUGAUGCAGCGACGCCGCGUGAGGGAAGAAGGUUUUCGGAUUGUAAACCUCUGUCUUCGGUGACGAAACGAGACGGUAGCCGAGGAGGAAGCCACGGCUAACUACGUGCCAGCAGCCGCGGUAAUACGUAGGUGGCAAGCGUUGUCCGGAAUUACUGGGUGUAAAGGGAGCGUAGGCGGGAAAGCAAGUUGAAUGUUUAAGGUACGGGCUCAACCUGUACAAGCGUUCAAAACUGUUUUUCUUGAGUGGAGUAGAGGUAAGCGGAAUUCCUAGUGUAGCGGUGAAAUGCGUAAAUAUUAGGAGGAACACCAGUGGCGAACGCGGCUUACCGGCGCCCGACUGACGCUGAGGCACGAAAGCGUGGGGAUCGAACAGGAUUAGAUACCCUAGUAGUC